rnacentral:rRNA from 1 species
UACGUAGGGGGCAAGCGUUGUCCGGAUUUAUUGGGCGUAAAGAGCGUGUAGGCGGCCAGAUAGGUCGGUUGUGAAAACUGGAGGCUCAACCUCCAGACGUCGACCGAAACCAUCUGGCUAGAGUCCGGAAGAGGAGAGUGGAAUUCCUGGUGUAGCGGUGAAAUGCGCAGAUAUCGGGAAGAACACCCGUGGCGAAGGCGGCUCUCUGGGACGGUACUGACGCUGAGACGCGAAAGCGUGGGGAGCGAACAGG